rnacentral:rRNA from 1 species
AGAGUUUGAUUCUGGCUCAGAACGAACGCUGGCGGCGCGUUUUAAGCAUGCAAGUCGAGCGGCAAGGGUACUUCGGUACCCCUAGAGCGGCGGACGGGUGAGUAACACGUGGAUAACCUGCCCCCGGGUGCGGGAUAGCCCAGGGAAACCUGGAUUAAUACCUCGUAAGACCACGCUCUGUAGGGAGAGUGGGAAAAGGCGCUUCGGCGUCGCCUGGGGAUGGGUCCGCGUCCCAUUAGCUAGAUGGUAGGGUAAGAGCCUACCAAGGCAAUGACGGGUAGGGGACCUGAGAGGGUGGCCCCCCACAAUGGAACUGAAACACGGUCCAUACACCUACGGGUGGCAGCAGUAGGGAAUAUUAGAAAUGGGGAAAAGCCUGAUCUAGCAACACCGCGUGUGCGAUGAAGGCCUUCGGGUUGUAAAGCACUUUUUGGAGGGAAUAGGAAGGAAGGUACCUCCAGAAUAAGUCUCGGCUAACUACGUGCCAGCAGCCGCGGUAACACGUAGGAGGCAAACGUUAUCCGGAUUCACUGGGCGUAAAGCGCGUGUAGGUGGUUCUGUAAGUAGGGCGUGAAAGCUCCCGGCUCAACUGGGAGAGGCCGUACUAAACUGCAGAGCUAGAGGAUGGUAGAGGGAGGUGGAAUUCCAGGUGUAGUGGUGAAAUGCGCAGAUAUCUGGAGGAACACCAGUGGCGAAGGCGGCCUCCUGGACCAUUCCUGACACUCAGACGCGAAAGCUAGGGUAGCAAACGAAAGUAGAGACUCCGGUAGUCCUAGCCCUAAACGAUGCGGACUAGGCGUCGGCGGGUUAAUUCACCGUCGGGGUCCAAGCAAACGCGAUAAGUAUGCCGCCCGAGGACUACGGCCGCAAGGCUAAAACUCAAAGGAAUUGACGGGUCCCCGCACAAGCAGCGGAGCGUGUGGUUUAAUUCGAUGCUCCGCGA